AAGGCAGAAACACAUACGGUUGGGAACAUACAAUAUCCAUCCGCAGGUAGUAGCUAGCGAUGGCAUCCGACAAGUCCAUAGCCGCUUCCCCUGCGCUCGUGUUCCUUGCCGUGGCAGCACUCAUGGUGGCCGCUUCCGUGCGCGCCCAGGCUCCGACGCCUGCGCCCACGCCGGCUCCAGCACCAACUCCGGCUCCGACUCCUGCUCCGGCACCAUCCCAGCCUGCGCCCACGCCGGCUCCAGCACCAACUCCGGCUCCGACUCCUGCUCCAGCACCAUCCCAGAGUCCUUGCCCUCCCGGCUUCUCCAACUCCACCGCGUUUAUUCUAGGGGUGAAGCAGUUCCUUAGACGCGGCAUCCUUCUGUUGGGGCCCUUCCUUGCGCCGGUCAUCCCAGGCACCAGCACCACAAAAUGCUUGUGCUAUUACUCUACCAACAUCACCACCAACGUCCAGCCCAUCGUGGGGAUCUUCCCGGUCCCGCCCAUCGUCAGGCCCAACGUCAUUGGGCCCAUCGCAUGCGUGCGUGGACCGGCCACCAUUAACUUCUAACUAAUUACUCGGAUAUUAUAUAUAAAUAUAUAAUACUAUGAAUAACGAGCUCAUCGUUUAUGUGUGUGCAUGCAUGCGUCGUGUCAGCAUGCAUGCGGAUGAGACUAAUUCGCACGUCACAGUACGCUGCGGUACUACAGGAGGAGAUGAGUUGAGUUGACCUAUACAGAUGUAACGGGGUGACAUUGUUCGUGUUGUGUUGUAAUAUGGCUAUCAGUUUGGCAGACCACUCUAAUCAUCAUUGAUAAUAAUAUUAAGUGGAUCUAUAUUGUUUUAAAAA
rnacentral:lncRNA from 1 species